rnacentral:rRNA from 1 species
GAUGAACGCUGGCGGCGUGCCUAAUACAUGCAAGUAGAACGCAGUGGCGAACGGGUGAGUAACGCGUAGGUAACUGCCUCAUAGGGGGGGAUAACUAUUGGAAACGAUAGCCAAUACCGCAUACUGUGAGCUGGACCUGCGUUGGAUUAGCUAGUUGGUGGGGUAAAGGCUCACCAAGGCGACGAUCCGUAGCGGGCCUGAGAGGAUGAUCGGCCACACUGGGACUGAGACACGGCCCAGACUCCUACGGGAGGCAGCAGUAGGGAAUCUUCGGCAAUGGGCGGAAGUCUGACCGAGCAACCCCGCGUGAAUGAUGAAGGUUUUCGGGUUGUAAAGCACUGUUGUUAGAGAAGCGGUAUCUAACCAAUAAGCAACGGCUAACUACGUGCCAGCAGCCGCGGUAAUUC